GUUAAUGUAGCUUAAUAACAAAGCGAAGCACUGAAAAUGCUUAAAUGAGCACUAAAAGCUCCAUAAACA
rnacentral:tRNA from 2 species